rnacentral:rRNA from 1 species
AGAACGAACGCUGGCGGCAUGCCUAAUACAUGCAAGUCGAACGAACUCUUCGGAGUUAGUGGCGCACGGGUGCGUAACGCGUGGGAAUCUGCCCUUGGGUUCGGAAUAACAGUUGGAAACGACUGCGUAAUACCGGAUGAUGACGAAAGUCCAAAGAUUUAUCGCCCAGGGAUGAGCCCGCGUAGGAUUAGCUAGUUGGUGAGGUAAAGGCUCACCAAGGCGACGAUCCUUAGCUGGUCUGAGAGGAUGGAUCAGCCACACUGGGGACUGAGACACGGCCCAGACUCCUACGGGAGGCAGCAGUGGGGAAUUUGGACAUGGGCGAAAGCCUGAU